rnacentral:misc_RNA from 1 species
GCGGCGGCGCGACGAAACUG